rnacentral:rRNA from 1 species
GUGAACGCUGGCGGUAGGCCUAACACAUGCAAGUCGAACGGCAGCACAGUAAGAGCUUGCUCUUACGGGUGGCGAGUGGCGGACGGGUGAGGAAUACAUCGGAAUCUACUUUUUCGUGGGGGAUAACGUAGGGAAACUUACGCUAAUACCGCAUACGACCUACGGGUGAAAGCAGGGGAUCUUCGGACCUUGCGCGAUUGAAUGAGCCGAUGUCGGAUUAGCUAGAUGGCGGGGUAAAGGCCCACCAAGGCGACGAUCCGUAGCUGGUCUGAGAGGAUGAUCAGCCACACUGGAACUGAGACACGGUCCAGACUCCUACGGGAGGCAGCAGUGGGGAAUAUUGGACAAUGGGCGCAAGCCUGAUCCAGCCAUACCGCGUGGGUGAAGAAGGCCUUCGGGUUGUAAAGCCCUUUUGUUGGGAAAGAAAAGCAGCAGGUUAAUACCCCGCUGUUCUGACGGUACCCAAAGAAUAAGCACCGGCUAACUUCGUG